AAAAAAAAAAAAAAAGAGGGUUGUAAAAAAAAUGGGAAAAAAACUGCCGAACAUUAUUAUAACUGGUGUUCCCUGUGUAGGAAAGACUACACUAUGUGAAGAGUUAGGGGAAAUAAUAAAUAAUGAAUUAGAAAAACGAAAGCAAGAACAGAAAAAGAGACAAGGACAGGAACAUGUACAAGAAUAUUGCCAAGAACAUUGCCAAGAACAUUGCCAAGAACAAACAAUAAAAAAACGAAAAUAAUAGCAUGAAAUAUUUAAACUUAUCGAAAAUAAUAAAAGAGGAAAGAUUAUAUGAAGAGUAUGAUGAUGAACUAGAUGCGAGUGUAUAUAGUGAAGAAUUAUUAUCUGAUAAAUUACAAAAAUUACAACUAAAUAAUGGUGGAUUUAUUAUAGAUUUUCAUAGUGUUACUUUUAUUGAAGAUAUUAAUUUAAUUAAUCGAAUUUUUUUAUUAACAGCAGAUACAAAUAUAUUAUAUGAACGUUCAGAAAAAAGAAAUUAUUCGAAAGAAAAAAUAACAAAUAAUAUUGAAAGUGAAAUCUUUAAAGUUAUACAAGAGGAUAUACUAGAACAUUUUGGAGAAUCUUCCAUAUAUGAAGAGCUGCAAAAUAAUAAUAUACAACAGUAUGAACAAAACUUGAAUUUAAUUAAAAACUGGGUACUUAAUUAUGUGCAAAAUCAGGAGUGAAAUCAGGAGUUACAUCGUUUGAAUAUUAAUAUAACAAAUCAUCCUCUUUUAUAUUCAAAAUUAUAUAUCACUAAUAAACAAAAAAACACACACGUAAAUACAUAUAUAUAUAUCAAAAUUAAUGAGAUAUUUUUAAAUAAUAUAUU